CAGUCGCCACGGUAAAACGAAGGGGGCUAGCGUUGUUCGGAUUUACUGGGCGUAAAGCGCACGUAGGCGGAUAUUUAAGUCAGGGGUGAAAUCCUGGAGCUCAACUCCAGAACUGCCUUUGAUACUGGGUAUCUAGAGUCCGGAAGAGGUGAGUGGAACUCCUAGUGUAGAGGUGGAAUUCGUAGAUAUUAGGAAGAACACCAGUGGCGAAGGCGGCUCACUGGUCCGGUACUGACGCUGAGGUGCGAAAGCGUGGGGAGCAAACAGGAUUAGAUACCCGAGUAGUCCCUGUCUCUUAUAC
rnacentral:rRNA from 1 species